rnacentral:rRNA from 1 species
AUUGAACGCUGGCGGCAGGCCUAACACAUGCAAGUCGAGCGGUAGAGAGGUGCUUGCAUCUCUUGAGAGCGGCGGACGGGUGAGUAAUGCCUAGGAAUCUGCCUGGUGGUGGGGGAUAACGUUCGGAAACGGACGCUAAUACCGCAUACGUCCUACGGGAGAAAGCGGGGGGAUCUUCGGACCUCGCGCCAUUAGAUGAGCCUAGGUCGGAUUAGCUAGUUGGUGAGGUAAUGGCUCACCAAGGCGACGAUCCGUAACUGGUCUGAGAGGAUGAUCAGUCACACUGGAACUGAGACACGGUCCAGACUCCUACGGGAGGCAGCAGUGGGAAUAUUGGACAAUGGGCGAAAGCCUGAUCCAGCCAUGCCGCGUGUGUGAAGAAGGCCUGGUUGUAA